CGGUAAUACCAGCUCGCCGAGUGGUAGGGACAAUUAUUGGGCUUAAAGCGUCCGUAGCCGGCUUAGCAAGUCUUCUGUUAAAUUCAGCGACUUAAUCGUUGAGCCGCGGGAGAUACUACUAGGCUAGGAGGCGGGAGAGGCCGACGGUAUUCCCGGGGUAGGGGUGAAAUCCUAUAAUCCCGGGAGGACCACCAGUGGCGAAGGCUGUCGGCUAGAACGCG
rnacentral:rRNA from 1 species